AGGGUAUUAAAUUUCUGUACAAGAAGC
rnacentral:piRNA from 1 species